GAGAGAAAGAGAGAGAGAGAGAUAAGAUAAUUGUUCACAACAGAAAAUGAAUGAAAACGCAUCUUGUUUUUCUUGUUUGAUUUCAAAAUACAUACCCCACAAAUCCCUUAAAUUGAUAUAGAGGAUUUGUGAAGUAACAUUGCUGCCUAAUGAUUGAUAAGCAUUGAAAUUAUUUUACAAAUAGUAGUUUUGCAGCUAUCCUAUAUCAUCUUACGGAACAAAUAAAUUAAUGUGUUACUUACAAGUUAAUCCUUGAAAUUUAUCAAAAACCACAGGUCAGUUCCUGCAUUUCUUAUGAGAAACAAUUUAGGCCCUAAGGUUUCAUUCCG
rnacentral:misc_RNA from 1 species